GAGGAGCGAAUGUAAAGGUUGUGAAAAGAGGGAGGAGCGAAUGUAAAGGUUGUGAAAAGAGGGAGGAGCGAAUGUAAAGGGGAUGAAAAGAGGGAGGAGUGAAUGUAAAGGUUGUGAAAAGAGGGAGGAGUGAAUGUAAAGGUUGUGAAAAGAGGGAGGCGCGAAUGUAAAGGCGAUGAAAAGGAGCGAAUGUAAAGGGGAUGAAAAGAGGGAGGAGCGAAUGUAAAGGGGAUGAAAAGAGGGAGGAGCGAAUGUAAAGGGGAUGAAAAGAGGGAGGAGCGAAUGUAAAGGUUGUGAAAAGAGGGAGGAGCGGAUGUAAAAGGGAUGAAAAGAGGGAGGAGCGAAUGUAAAGGUUGUGAAAAGGGGAGGAGUGAAUGUAAAGGUUGUGAAAAGAAAGAGAAUGUAAAGGGAAGGAGGAGGGUGAAGGUAAAGUGUUAAAAGUAUUAGAGAGAUUUUAAAGAUGGGUGAAUGGAGGAAGUACGGAAGCCUCCAAGUUAGUGCCAGUUUUGCAUUUUCAUUGUUGUCCUUUGUAAAUUGUUUUUUUUUCUUAUCUUUUUGAAUUUCUGUUAUUCGCCACAAUGUGUUGUUAUUGUUAAUAUUAAAGACUCAUUUAAUCAGUUUGUCUCA